GGACAAGCUCUAUGGCACCAACAUGCGUAAGAAAGGGGCGGAUGCAGGCUAUGUUUUUAAGAUGGAAUCUAUAGGAUUUGGUAACAUGUUGGAUGUGAAGCUAUAAGGUGAGGCUAGAAUCAAAUAUGACACCAAGACAGCGCGCUUGCAAGGAUGGACUGAUGUGGAUACCACUGACUUGAAGGGAGAGCAAAAGAACAGGAUCAGUAUUAGGAGGAUGAAAGACAAGGAGUUCAGUUUUAGAGAGAUUGAGUUUUAGAAAGCGGGAGGACAUCCAGUCAGAGAUGGAAGAAAGGCAAGCAGUGACACGUUGCAGGACAGCAGGGGAGAGCUCUGGGGAGGAGAGAUAUAGCUGGGUGUCAGCAACGUACAGGUGGUAGUGGAAUCCAAAUGAGGUAAUAAGUUUGCCAAGAGAGGCAGUAUAAAGAGAAAAUUGAAGGGGACCAAGGAGACAGCCUUGGGGGACUCCAACAGAGACAGGAUAUUCAUUAGAGGAGGUAUCAUUAGAAAAGGAGACUCUGAAUGAGCAUUGGGAGAGAAAGGAGGAAAUCCAAGAGAGGACAGUGUCACAUAGACCGAGUGAUUGAAGAGUUUGAAGAAGGAGAGCAUGAUCAACAGUGUGUCAAAGGCAGCAGAGAGGUCAAGAAGUAUUAGUAUGGAAUAGUAGCCUUUGGAGUUAGCUGUGAUUAGGUCAUUAGUAACUUUGAUAAGAGCAGUCUCAGUAGAGUGGAGGGGGCGGAAGCCAGAUUGAAGAGGGUUAAUGAGAGAGUUGGAAUUAAGGAAGUGAGACAUUCGAGUAAAGACAAGUCUUUCCUGAAGCUUUGAGGAAAAAGGGAGCAGGGAUAAGGGACGAUAGCUAGAGGGGGUGGAUGGCUUGAGGGAGGUUUUUUCAGGAUAGGUACUACAGUAGCAUGUUUAAGGUUAGCAGGGACAACGCCAGAAGAGAGAGAGCAGUUGAAGAUGUGUGUUAAGGAAGGCACAAGACAAGGGGAGAGAGAUCUGAUAAGGUCAGAUGGGACAGGAUCAAGUGGGCAAGUGGUGGGGCGAGAGGAAAGGUGAAGCACAGCCAACUCUUGUUCAGUAGCCAGAUAGAAAGUAUGAAAGGUAGGAAAGGCAUGAUCUACAUGUGGACGAGAAAGAGAAAGAGAAAGGCAGGGUGGGGAGAUUAUUUCCUUAGCUGUGCAAUCUUGUCGGUAAAGUAGUAUGCAAAGCUCUCGGCUGUAAGGUUAGUUUGAGGGGUGGCCACAGCAAGGCGAAUAAGAGAGUUAAAGGUGUCAAAGAGUUACAAAUGGACACAGGCCCUGUCAUCACAACAGUGGCGGAAAAUAGAAGCCUCGUUUUUCGUAGCCUCC